rnacentral:rRNA from 1 species
GCUACUAUUUCUAAGGAAAGCAGCAGGCGCGCAAAUUAUUCAAUGGAAACAAUUUUCCGAAAUAGUGACAAAAAUAUCAAUGCUAGGUACUAUGUAUUUAGUAAUUGGAAUGAGUACAAUUUAAAUCCCUUAACAAGUAACAAUUAGAGGGCAAGUCUGGUGCCAGCAGCCGCGGUAAUUCCAGCUCUAAUAGCGUAUAUUAAUAUUGUUGCAGUUAAAAAGCUCGUAGUUGAAAUUUGGGACUUUAUUGUAUUGGUUUAUCUUUUGAUGAACUGUAUAAUGGGUUUCUUCCUACUAGAGUUCGAUUCUGUUCUUAACUGAAUGGAGUAGCUAUCUUUCGGGGUGGUCAGUUGGUUGUUAUAUCUCCACUAAUAAGCAGAGAGGGGGUUAAAACCCUUUGAAGUAAGUUAUGUGGGUCAAGGUAUAAUGAUUAAUUGGAGUUCUAGUUCAUUUACUUUGAGAAAAUUAGAGUGUUUAAAGCAGCCUCUUGGGGCACUGAAUACAUUAGCAUGGGAUAUAAAAUAGGAUCUUCACAA